ACCGAAGCCUCACAUUAAUUUGUGAAGUAGGUAUUCUCCCACUCCGAGUCACAGAAAGGUUGCAAUUUCCCCAAGUUCACCCAGCAAAUAGAUGGCAGAGCUGGGAAUACAACCCAGGUUGUCUGACUUGAAAUCUUGUGCUUUGAAUCUUUUAGGUCACAUUCCCUCUCAAAAGUGUGCUGGGAAAUGGCCAAAGGAGAUAUACCUGGUCCCUCAUCUCUUUUCCUAUUCAGAACAAUUCUUAAUGCUAUUAUCUUCGUGUGUGUUAAAUAUCUUCCAGUACUGAAAGAACCAGCUGAAGAGUCAAAUAAGGAUAUGGAUGGCUGUUGCACUGGAGAUAAGAGACCUGGAGAGUCCAGAACACCCAGUCAUGCAAAUAGAGGAAGACCUUCCAAACUGGACCAUACCAUUCUGCUGGGAAUGGACCAACAACGAAAAGCUGAGGGAAGACAAGCUCAAGCCUUAUACAUUUACUCAAAACUCCAGGAGACUCAAAUUCCUGCAUUCCGAGCACCUGAGACUAGGACUAUCUCCAACUUUGAAGAUUUCGACUUUUUGGCAAAAUACUGCAUCUUCAGCCAGGAGAAGUUGGCUAAGUACAAAAUGGCUUUUGAAGCGGUGGAUACUGAUGGAGAUGGAUACUUGAACUGCCUGCAAGUUUUGAUGGCUCUGAAAGAAACUGUCCCUUCAGAUGCACUAACUGAUGCUGAAGAACUUUAUGUAUAUAGGAUCUUAGAGAUUGUUGACUAUUAUGUAACAGAUGGCCUGACAGACCUCCGACUCUUCGCAGUGAUGGCUAGCUUGGCACAGAAAAUAACAGCACUGGACAAUUAUUUCUGUGGAAUAUUGACUCUCACUCCAGCAGCAUCACAGUGGACCAACUUUUGGUAGAGCUGAAGGCUGGAGGGAUAAGCGAAGAGCAUGAGAAAGCCGUGCAGAGAGAACUGCGACACAUCCAGAAACUAGAUCUUCUUGAUUUCUUGACUUACCUGCCACUCUUUGUCCUUACCCACAACUCUGUCAUUGCCAAUCCACUGGAUGAUUCGAGAACAAUCUGACCAGCUACCUUAACUCUAGCAGAAGGGAAGCUGAUGUCUUAUGAAGGCUUCUGAUUUACCAUUUUCCAGCAGACAUCACAGAUUGUGGUGGUGCUAAGGAACUACAGAUCAGAAACAAAUUCCAAUCAAUUCACUCAUACGUAGGGUGACCAGACAGCAAGUGUGAAAAAUCGGGACAAGGGUGGGGGGUAAUAGGAACCUAUAUAAGAAAAAGACCCCAAAAUCAGGACUGUCCCUAUAAAAUCGGGACAUCUGGUCACCCUACUCAUACGUAUAAAUACAACAAGGCCUAAUCUGUAGCCCUCAGUCACCUGAGCAGUCCUUGCAGGAGUAAAUCAGAUAGAGGCUCAAAUACUGAGAUUUGUAAAUGUAAACUUUGAAGGUACAUUUGGCACCCACAGGGACAGUGGCUGAGCCACAGUCCUGGAAAUGUUCCCAAGAAUUAAACUGUGUCAGGGUUUCUGUGAUGGUGUGGCCCCCUUUAUACAUGAGGGGCCACAUUUUCAGAAGGUCUCAGCAACCACAGUUAUGCUCAAACUGGCUACUUCAUGUAGGUGCCUUGAAUGGGAAGAGUUGAAUCCAGAGCUCUUUUGAAAAUCUGACCGGUUAUCUGCCGUUAUAAUAUAUUUUAAAAAAAUGAUUGUAAAAUACUAAUAUAAUGUGUAGGAAUUCCUUUUUCUCCAUUUAUCUCAGCCAGUGCACUUUUAAGUCUGGUUACUGUGACCGGCCUAUAACUAUUGAGAAUCAACAGGUUAUUUCUAGUGUGUAGUGAGAAAUAGGCUGAAAACACAAAGGAUUAAUUUUGCCUUUUCAAUCCGAUCACAAACGUUUUG
rnacentral:lncRNA from 1 species